rnacentral:rRNA from 1 species
GAUGGACGCUGGCGGCGUGCCUAAUACAUGCAAGUCGAGCGAACAGAUGAGAAGCUUGCUUCUCUGAUGUUAGCGGCGGACGGGUGAGUAACACGUGGGUAACCUACCUAUAAGACUGGGAUAACUCCGGGAAACCGGGGCUAAUACCGGAUAAUAUUUUGAACCGCAUGGUUCAAUAGUGAAAGACGGUUUCGGCUGUCACUUAUAGAUGGACCCGCGCCGUAUUAGCUAGUUGGUAAGGUAAUGGCUUACCAAGGCGACGAUACGUAGCCGGCCUGAGAGGGCGAUCGGCCACACUGGAACUGAGACACGGUCCAGACUCCUACGGGAGGCAGCAGUAGGGAAUCUUCCGCAAUGGGCGAAAGCCUGACGGAGCAACGCCGCGUGAGUGAUGAAGGGUUUCGGCUCGUAAAACUCUGUUAUUAGGGAAGAACAAAUGUGUAAGUAACUGUGCACAUCUUGACGGUACCUAAUCAGAAAGCCACGGCUAACUACGUGCCAGCCGCCGCGGUAA